GAUGAACGCUGGCGGCGUGCCUAAUACAUGCAAGUCGAGCGAACGGGCGAGAAGCUUGCUUUUCUGAUGUUAGCGGCGGACGGGUGAGUAACACGUGGAUAACCUACCUAUAAGACUGGGAUAACUUCGGGAAACCGGAGCUAAUACCGGAUAAUAUUUUGAACCGCAUGGUUCAAAAGUGAAAGACGGUCUUGCUGUCACUUAUAGAUGUAUCCGCGCUGCAUUAGCUAGUUGGUAAGGUAACGGCUUACCAAGGCAACGAUGCAUAGCCGACCUGAGAGGGUGAUCGGCCACACUGGAACUGAGACACGGUCCAGACUCCUACGGGAGGCAGCAGUAGGGAAUCUUCCGCAAUGGGCGAAAGCCUGACGGAGCAACGCCGCGUGAGUGAUGAAGGUCUUCGGAUCGUAAAACUCUGUUAUUAGGGAAGAACAUAUGUGUAAGUAACUGUGCACAUCUUGACGGUACCUAAUCAGAAAGCCACGGCUAACUACGUG
rnacentral:rRNA from 1 species